rnacentral:rRNA from 1 species
AACGGAAAGGCCCUGCUUUUGUGGGGUGCUCGAGUGGCGAACGGGUGAGUAACACGUGAGUAACCUGCCCUUGACUUUGGGAUAACUUCAGGAAACUGGGGCUAAUACCGGAUAGGAGCUCCUGCUGCAUGGUGGGGGUUGGAAAGUUUCGGCGGUUGGGGAUGGACUCGCGGCUUAUCAGCUUGUUGGUGGGGUAGUGGCUUACCAAGGCUUUGACGGGUAGCCGGCCUGAGAGGGUGACCGGCCACAUUGGGACUGAGAUACGGCCCAGACUCCUACGGGAGGCAGUAGUGGGGAAUAUUGCACAAUGGGCGGAAGCCUGAUGCAGCAACGCCGCGUGCGGGAUGACGGCCUUCGGGUUGUAAACCGCUUUCGCCUGUGACGAAGCGUGAGUGACGGUAAUGGGUAAAGAAGCACCGGCUAACUACGUGCCAGCAGCCGCGGUGAUACGUAGGGUGCGAGCGUUGUUCGGAUUUAUUGGGCGUAAAGGGCUCGUAGGUGGUUGAUCGCGUCGGAAGUGUAAUCUUGGGGCUUAACCCUGAGCGUGCUUUCGAUACGGGUUGACUUGAGGAAGGUAGGGGAGAAUGGAAUUCCUGGUGGAGCGGUGGAAUGCGCAGAUAUCAGGAGGAACACCAGUGGCGAAGGCGGUUCUCUGGGCCUUUCCUGACGCUGAGGAGCGAAAGCGUGGGGAGCGAACAGGCUUAGAUACCCUGGU